AUGGGCAUUGAUGCGUUGAGGGAAACCGGACCAUCUAUUAGUGAGGAAGGAGAGACAGAGCCGUAUAACGGGACAACAACUCCUGAACAACUUCUCAUUUCGGCUGAUUUGGAGCGAGUUUAUGAUGAGACCAUGCGUGAUGGAAGUGACGAAAGCACGGCCAACUCGACUGCAAUUGAAAAGGUUUUGGGAAAGAGUAAAGGCCUUUGAAUUAAAAGUUCAAGCACAAGGAUUGGAAAGUCGAGAUUUUCUUCAACACCAUCAGACGUGGAGAUUCAAAUGGAGAUUCAAAUGAAGGCAAUGCAAGAACAAAUGCAAAUGAAAGACGAACAAGUGAAUCGAUUGGAACAACAAUUGCAGGAAA